UGGACAUUCUGAAUGAGUGGGCCGAUCGACUGCCUUGCCUGUGUCUCCCCAGAACCACGAGACCAACCUGGUGGUAAUGGUCGCCUCCUGCGUGGGGUUCGUGCUGUUGGUGUUGGUGGCUACGUUUCUCCUGCGAGGGAAAGUCACGAAAACCAGUUGUUUGCAGAAACACAAGAGAUUAGACAAACUUGGAGAAAGCAAAAAUGCUCUCAAUGACAUGCAUCAUGGACAGGACGAUGAAGAUGGGCUUUUCACUCUCUAACUUGCUACUUUUUCUUAGGAUUGAGCAAGGCCUUGAUGCUUGAAAUUUCCAUUUAAGUCUUGUGGUGUUAUAAAUUUC
rnacentral:lncRNA from 1 species